GUGUCAGCCGCCGCGGUAAUACGGAGGGUGCGAGCGUUGUCCGGAAUCACUGGGCGUAAAGGGCGCGUAGGCGGCUCUGUAAGUCGGAUGUGAAAUCCCGGGGCUCAACUCCGGGGCUGCAUCCGAGACUGCAAGGCUGGAGCGUGGUAGGGGCGAGCGGAAUUCCCGGUGUAGCGGUGGAAUGCGUAGAUAUCGGGAAGAACACCAGUGGCGAAGGCGGCUCGCUGGGCUACUGCUGACGCUGAGGCGCGAAAGCGUGGGGAGCAAACAGGAUUAGAAACCCCUGUAGUCC
rnacentral:rRNA from 1 species